rnacentral:tRNA from 1 species
ACCGAAAUAGCUCAGUUGGGAGAGCGUUAGACUAUAGAUCGAAAGGUCACUGGUUCGAUCCCGUGAUUCGGCA